UAUCUUUUCAGAAUUGUAAAAAAUGCCCCCAAAGAGGAGAAAAAUGGACCCUUUUGACGUUAUUGACGAGUUUCAGCCAGACUCGGAGGAUUCUGAGGACAUGUCCUGCUUUAAGUUGUUGGAGGCUGGGAUGACUUUGAAGACAGUAGAUGACGGAGGACAGGAAGUACAAAUUCAUUUCGAGCGGGUGAGUGACCUCUCUGAUGAUCAUGACGAGGAAGAAGAGGAGGAGGUUGACCUUGAACAUAAUGAUGUAAAGGUUGAGAAUCUAAGAGAAACCAGUCCGCUUAGAACAAGUAUAGAGCCUGACCGUUUAAUUGAUAUACAAAAAUCCUCUCACGACGGAACCAUAGUUGUUAUUAAAUCCGAAGUACAAGCAGUUCAACAAGAGCACAUCUGCCCUAAAUCAAGCUGUGGAAUAAGAUUUUCAAGUAAAGCAGAAAUCCAUAAGCACGUCAACACAGUUCAUAUUAAAAAGUUUGAAGAGGAGACGGAGAAAACAUUGAUAAUAUCUGAAGAUCUUUAUUCUCCAACUAUAGAAUGUAUCAACUGUAAUUUCCAGUCAACCCAGCCUGAUGAGAUGGACUCGCAUGUACUCAACGUUCAUGUGAAGGAUUCCCCAGAUGAUAGAAGCAGCCAAGGUUGCAUCUAUGUCGAAAAUCUUGAAAACUCGAAACAAAUUUUUAAAUGUCCUUCCUGUGACAAACUCUUUGGAAAAAAGCAAAAUCUAGUGCGGCACAUCCGUGAGAACCAUUCCAGUGCUGCUAGCUACUCCUGUUCUAGUUGUACCUUUAAAACCAGCAGUUCAAACAUUUACAGGAAGCAUAUAGCAAAAUGUAUAAAGAUCAAUAGACACUAUGGUGAAAUGCAUCCUAGCAGUGAUUCAGUGUAUAGUGAAGCCAGUGUCAUCAAAGGAGUUAAUUACAAGUGUGUGUGUACCUGGUGCGAAUAUAAAUCUAAUAAAUACUCCCACGUCAAGAAGCAUAUAGAUAUAUAUCAUGAGUCUAAAUCCAAUUAUCCUUGCAAAGAAUGUGUUUUUGUUGGGAAGAAUGUUGAUGACUACGCCAAGCAUUUUAAUUCAUUUCAUCGGACGGAUGAUUACAAACACGCAUGCACCGAUUGCAGUUUCAAGUGCACCAACAGAGCUGACUUACGGGCGCAUUAUAUUGAAGUACAUAAGAAGCAGCGACUUUACGCCUGCAGGAAAUGCAAGUACAAGGCUCAGGAUGUGAUAACGAUCAAGAAACACAUUGCUAAAACUCAUUCAACUUUCAUAUUCAACUGCAAGGCGUGUAAUUUCUCAAGCAAUUUGAAGAAUGAAUUCAACAGACAUUGUUCAGAGGUGCAUGGUGAUUGUUUCCAGCUAGGUGAUAUGUUCGGUAGUCAGAUAGGACAGGAGAUGCAGGAGAUUGUUGAGCAGGUGACAGAUAUUGAAGAGGAGGAGGUCCCAGAAUCAGAAAUAAUGGAAGAACAAAUUUUCGAGGAACAAAUACUGGAGGAAGAACAUAUUCUCCAAGAUGAAAAUAUUCUUGAUCAUAAUCUUGGUGGAGAUGAGAUCGAAGAGACUGAAGAACUAAUUGAAGAGGAAGUUAUCUCAGAUUUCUACGAGGGUUCUGUUAUGCUUCUCUCAUAGCAUCUAGAUGACAAGCAGAUGUAAAAUUAAUAGGACAAAUUUCUGCAGCAAAAUGUCGGUUUAUUUAAUACAAUUCGAUUUUCUUUUCUGAAUGGUGCAAAUUGUGAAUAUAGUUAAUGCAACUCAAGACUCAUUUUUAAAACAAGAAAUCUUUUUGAGUAAUUCAAUUUUAAAAGUUAUGAAUAUGAGAAUACCAAUUAUGAUGAUUAUUGUUUAAUAAUUUGGGAUGCUUUGUUAUUUUGCUAAGAGGUUAAAAAAUAUAUUUUGUAGAAAGAUGGAUUUUAAAAAGGUAGCUGCUGGGGGCCGGGUGGGAGAGAAUGGACAAAAAAAAUUAAUCCAUUUAAAGUUCUUGUGAUUGAAAAUAAGUAUUUUUAGUAAAAAAUUAGCAUUAACAAGAAUUUAGUCCAAGUUUGUUAUAAAACUUGAAUUGAAUUUUAAUUUUGAGAUUUUUUUUAAUCAUUAUUGAACUGUUUAAAAUUUCAAAUUUCGUCCAUUAUAAAAUGUUUGUCUUUUCGUCUUCAUUGUUCUAUUCCAGUUGACCACCCUAAAUGUGUCUAAUGUCAGAAAGCAAGAUUAUAAUUGUAAUGGUUAUGGCUAAUCAAGGAAUAGGAAAACUAUAUACAGCACAUAUAUGAUGGUUUUAAGACGGAUUAAUUAUUCUUCUGCAAAGCAAAGGCCUGAUGUAUAAAAAUUCAUCAACAAAUUUCCAUCUCGUUAAAUAAUUCCUUUUUUUACUUUUAAUUCUUGGUAUUAAGACAUGAUUAUGAGGUUCCAUAAAAAUGAACUUUCUUCUUCAAGUGAUUGUAGAAUUGUUCUUUUCUUAUAAUCUCAGAGUAAAAAAGAAUAUUUAAAUAAGAUCAGAUAUGUAUGGCUAAGUUGUAAAACUAUUUUUCACAACAAGUAAAAAUUUAUUUAAAUGUUUGCGUAAUCAACAACAAGGGGAGGGGUGGUAUUCUUCUAAAGUAUAUAUAAUUGUGAUUCUAUUUUGUAUUAUUAAGAUGAAGGUAUUUUCAG
rnacentral:misc_RNA from 1 species